AGCGCCCCCGCCUCCGAACCAGGUGCCGCGCUCCCCACCGAAGCCCCACGCCCGCCUCCUCCAGCUGGGCGCCAAACGUCGCCACCCCUGCAUCCCCCAGAGAAAAGCUUCCAGCCGGCCCGGGGCUAGGCGUAACGCAGGGCCGAGGCGACGAGCAGAGCCAGGACGCGGGCCUCAGUUUACCCGCGGUGUCCAGAACCAUGCUUUUGGAAGGUCUUCGUGGCAAUAUGUCUUGAUAGCAGCACCAAAGGCCAGUGACUCAGCUGAGGAGGAAAAGGCCUUACACGUGGGAGAUUGGCCAGUUCGUCGUUGUUUCCCCACAGACUUGAAAACUGGAAUUGAGCCAUGUAGGCAAAUGGAGUAGGCCUCAAGAAGAUCCUUGUGACAACCCUAGAAGACAUGAGCCAGGGAGAGAAAGGAGAGUCCAGGGUCCUUUCCAAACGCUGUGGGCAGGAGCGAAGAUCAAGAUACACGAAACUCAAUAUUCAAAUUCAGACUCAGAAAA
rnacentral:lncRNA from 1 species